rnacentral:rRNA from 1 species
ACUCCUACGGGAGGCAGCAGUAGGGAAUAUUGGUCAAUGGGUGAGAGCCUGAACCAGCCAUGCCGCGUGCAGGAAGACGGCCUUCUGGGUUGUAAACUUGCGUUUUACCAGGGAUAAAACGACUCUGCGGAGUUAAUUGAAGGUACCUGGAGAAUAAGCACCGGCUAACUACGUGCCAGCAGCCGCGGUAAUACGUAGGGUGCAAGCGUUGUCCGGAUUUAUUGGGUUUAAAGGGUGCGUAGGCGGGCUAUUAAGUCAGUGGUGAAAUCCAGCAGCUUAACUGUUGAUGUGCCAUUGAUACUGGUAGUCUUGAGUACAGAUGAGGUAGGCGGAAUUGACAGUGUAGCGGUGAAAUGCAUAGAUAUUGUCAAGAACUCCGAUAGCGAAGGCAGCUUACUGGGCUGUAACUGACGCUGAUGCACGAAAGUGUGGGGAUCAAACAGGAUUAGAUACCCUGGUAGGCUCUG